rnacentral:rRNA from 1 species
CCUACGGGUGGCUGCAGUCGAGAAUCAUGCACAAUGGGGGCAACCCUGAUGGUGCGACGCCGCGUGGGGGAAGGAAGGUCUUCGGAUUGUAAACCCCUGUCAUGUGGGAGCAAAUUAAAAAGAUAGUACCACAAGAGGAAGAGACGACUAACUCUGUGCCAGCAGCCGCGGUAAUACAGAGGUCGCAAGCGUUGUUCGGAAUCACUGGGCGGAAAGCGUGCGUAGGGUGUUUGGUAAGUCGUGUGUGAAAGGCGCGGGCACAACCCCCGAACGGCACAGGAUCUUGCGAGACUAGAGUAAGGGAGGGGGAACCGGAAUUCGCGGUGUAGCAGUGAAAUGCGUAGAUAUGGAGAGGAACACUCGUGGCGAAGGCGGGUUCCUGGACAGUAACUGACGCUGAGGCACGAAGGCCAGGGGAGCGAAAGGGAUUAGAUACCCGUGUAGUC